rnacentral:rRNA from 1 species
GACGAACGCUGACGGUGUGCUUUAGGCAUGCAAGUCGAACGAGAAAGCCCUUCGGGGUGAGUAGAGUGGCGAACGGGUGAGUAACACGUAGGCAACCUGCCCCUCGCAGGGGGAUAACCGGAGGAAACUCCGGCUAAUCCCCCGCAAGCUUUCAGGACCGCAUGGCCCUGCAAGGAAAGGCAGCUUCGGUCAUCCGGCGCGGGAUGGACCCGCGGUGCAUUAGCUAGUUGGUGGGGUAAAAGCCCACCAAGGCGACGAUGCGUAGCUGGUCCGAGAGGACGAUCAGCCACACUGGGACGGAGACACGGCCCAGACUCCUACGGGAGGCAGCAGCCAGGAAUCUUGGGCAAUGGGCGCAAGCCUGACCCAGCAACACCGUGUGGGCGAUGAAGGCCUUCGGGUCGUAAAGCCCUGUUGAUAGGGACGAAGGGCGAAGGGUUAAUAGCCCCUAGCCUGACGGUACCUUUCGAGGAAGCCCCGGCUAACUACGUGCCAGCAGCCGCAGUAACAC